GCUAGGUUCCGGAACCUGACCUGAGCUGGGGCCUGUGCUUCCAGCGGGUGGUGGGGGGCCUGGUGUGCUGGCAUCAAGUAAGCCGACUACCUCGGCAAAGGCUUAGGGACAAGAGACCAGCAGCCUGAACUGGCUGGGGCAUCCGGAAGGCUUAGAUCUUGUGGCCAAGAGUUCAGACCGUGGCGAAGUGGAGAGUGACAUGCAGUUGGAUGGCGGUGACUGCGUGGUCCUGCAACCCUGGUUCCAGUCUGGCAAGCAUUGUAGACCUGGCUGCUGAAGACUGACGGGGCCCAGGGUCCGCUGCCCCCACCGCCAUCACCACCUCGGAACCCAGGGUAACGCUGUCAGUCUUUGAAGCCUCUAUCUCCUCUUCACCCAUAAGAAAUAAAUGGGCUCUACAUCUCAUCACCCUGCUAACAGGAUUAGGCAUCACUGCUGCACUUGGCACUGGAAUAGCAGGCAUAACCACCUCAAUCACCUCAUACCAAACACUAUUCACAACCCUUUCUAACACCGUAGAAGAUAUGCACACUUCCAUUACCAGUCUCCAACGACAAUUAGACUUCCUCGUGGGAGUCAUCCUUCAAAACUGGAGAGUCCUGGACCUCCUAACCACUGAGAAAGGGGGUACCUGCAUAUACCUCCAGGAAGAAUGCUGUUUCUGUGUUAAUGAAUCUGGCAUUGUUCAUAUCGCAGUUCGUAGGCUUCAUGACAGGGCUGCAGAGCUUUGACAUCAAGUCGCUGACUCCUGGUGGCAAGGAUCAUCCCUUCUAAGAUGGAUACCCUGGGUUGCCCCCUUCCUAGGACCCCUGAUCUUCCUCUUCCUGUUACUAAUGAUUGGGCCAUGCAUAUUUAACCUUGUAUCCCGCUUCAUUUCCCAAAGGCUGAAUUGUUUUAUCCAGGCAAGCAUGCAAAAACACAUUGAUAAUAUAUUUCACCUUUGCCACGUCUAAUACCAGAGCCUACGAGGAAACCAUUCGGAAGCUCCAGAACCCAGGCCCUAAUCACAACGCCCCUAUCCAGCAGGAAGCAGCCAGAUGAUCAACGACGCCCUUUUUCCUUUUUAUACUAAAGUAAGAAAUAAGAAUGUUAGCCCAAACUGCACUAUUUUGCAGACCCCUACCAUUUUACAAACUGGUCAGAGUGGAAAAUUCCACCAGGGCCUGAGCUGUGAGAAACAUCCUGUCAGGCAGGUCCCAGGCCUAACCCCUGGCUGCACUAAAUUCCUUCAUUAUCAGCAGCCAAACACACCGCCCCCACCCCAUUUUCACAACAAUC
rnacentral:lncRNA from 1 species